UUACGGAAGGCAGCAGUGGGGAAUUUUGCGCAAUGGGGGAAACCCUGACGCAGCAACGCCGCGUGAGUGAUGAAGGCCUUCGGGUCGUAAAGCUCUGUCAGAGGGAAAGAAGUGUAUUAUGGCUAAUAUCCAUGAUACUUGACGGUACCCUCAAAGGAAGCACCGGCUAACUCCGUGCCAGCAGCCGCGGUAAUACGGAGGGUGCGAGCGUUGUUCGGAUUUAUUGGGCGUAAAGCGCGUGUAGGCGGCUUCUUAAGUCUGAUGUGAAAGCCCUGGGCUCAACCCGGGAAGUGCAUUGGAAACUGGGAAACUUGAAUACGGGAGAGGGUAGUGGAAUUCCUGGUGUAGGAGUGAAAUCCGUAGAUAUCAGGAGGAACACCGGUGGCGAAGGCGGCUGCCUGGACCGAUAUUGACGCUGAGACGCGAAAGCGUGGGGAGCAAACAGGAUUAGAUACCCGAGUAU
rnacentral:rRNA from 1 species